UACGUAAGUGGCGAGCGUUGUCCGGAAUCAUUGGGCGUAAAGCGCGUGUAGGCGGCCCGGUAAGUCCGCUGUGAAAGUCCAGGGCUCAACCCUGGGAUGCCGGUGGAUACUGUCGGGCUCGAGUCCGGAAGAGGCGAGUGGAAUUCCUGGUGUAGCGGUGAAAUGCGCAGAUAUCAGGAGGAACACCAAUGGCGAAGGCAGCUCGCUGGGACGUGACUGACGCUGAGACGCGAAAGCGUGGGGAGCAAACAGG
rnacentral:rRNA from 1 species